AUCACAGUCACGACAACAAAUGACAGCGAUUUUUCGUUUUUGCGAUCAUGUAACACACAUCUCCCACCGAAAUGACGUCAUCUUGGAUCGUUCUCUGUCACGGUCACUUGUAGGGAUUUAUCCAAGUUAUAACGCAGUUUUUACGUAUCGAUAGUCAGUUUAAGCGAUUAUGUAAGCAUAAUGAUCAUACAACUGGGUGACACAGAAGUUGUCAAAGUCAAUCGCUAUAGAAACUAAUACCGAGCAGUGUUUUAAUAAAGUUUACUUGACGCCUGUGAUUCAAUAAUUACAAAUAAAAGUACUUUUAGGAUUUUUUUGAAUUUUGUACUAUACCUUGUAAGUAAGGUAUUAGUUUGUAAGUCAAUAAAAUCAGAAUUAGAAAAGUUUUUCAUGUAAAAUAUGACGAAAGUUGAGAAUAUAUAGUAGGUACCUACCUACAUACUUAUUUCAUAAAGCAGAAUUACAGUUUUAGAGUCUUGGCAGCUUUAAACUUUUAUGCCAAUGGAUCAUACAAAUGGCUUUGUGAUGGCUAAGGCAUCUUUUAGCAAAUGCCUACAUGAAGUCGCUGACGCUCCUGAAUACCCCAGCUGUUUAAAAAAAAUGUGUUAAGUUCCCUUUGCAUUAAACACAAAAUCAUUAUAAAUAAGUGACCAAUGUUUGCAUGAUGACCCCCAUCUUGGGAGCUGCUCCUAGAUCCCAUGAAGAUAUGCACAACAUUGCUGUGUCAGAAAUACGGUGGAGCCUUGUAGUUGGGUGCAUAUUGUAAAAUGUUUCCUCACUCCAAAACCAUGAACUCUGGUUUCCUAAACCCUCAAGCUAUGCAGCCGAAGGAGGAGACUUAUCACAGGAGAAUCACUAAUAAUUUUGAAGAAGUGAAGAGCUUAACAAUGUUUCAACCAACACCUAAAGAAGCUUUCACUUGGCUGUUAGAUCAAGGGCUGGAUACAGAAAACAGUAAUCCUUGUGAUGGCAGUAUUGUCCAAGGAUUCCUCACUCAAAACCAUGAUAACAAGUUGCUAGAACCCUCAAGCUAUGCAGACAAAGGACUGGAUAUAUUUUUUCGUGACCAAGCCUUCUGUAUAAUUAUUUAUACUUAAACCAUACAAAGCACUAUCUAGCCCCAAAGUAGGCAUACAGAGUAGCUUGUGUUGUGGGUACUAAGAUAGUUGAUAUUAUAAUAUUCAUUUACAUUUAUAUACUACCUAUAAAUACUUAUAUAAUGUAUAAAUAUACACACACUGGAAAAAACCCAUGCUCUUCACACAAAUAUUUUCCAGGUGUGGGAAUCGAACCCAUGACCGUGGAUGCAGGAGCACUACUUACUGCGCCACGCGUAUGUGUUUUUAUUUUGAAGCAAAUUAUUAAAGUUGAUAAUUCAAAUUGUAGUCAUGUUUUUAAUUAAUCUAUAAUUAAUUUUUAAUUUACAUUUUUGUUAAAUAUUUACCUAUACUUCAGUCUAUUUUUGUUAGAGGGGGUACCUAUAUGUGUAAGUAGGGUCGUUUCUUGAUUAAAUUAAACUAAAGAAUGAAAGAUAUAUAUUAUAACAAAAUUUGUCAACAACAAUAUAUCAAGUCUGAAUAAAAAAUACCAACACAAGUAAA